rnacentral:lncRNA from 1 species
CCGGCCGACUGGGAUGGCAAGAUAGCGGCGCGGGAGCGGCCGGACUGACUGAAUAGCACGGACAAUGGGAGCUUUCUCAUGGUGGAGACAGCCAUCUUGGAUGGCGGACAAUAAAAGAGGGAGGAUGACUCCAAGCCUGCCAUGGCUCCUGUCGGCUCUGACUCUUCUGCAUCUGAUGAUGCACGUGAAUGGUCUUAAGAGAGGGGUACAACAAGAUCUGAAAUGCACAACCAACAAUAUGCGAGUGUGGGACUGCUCAUGGCCAGCACCCCUCGGGGUCAGCCCUGGAACUGUUAAAGACAUUUGCAUUAAAGACAGGCCCCAUUCCUGCCAUCGACUAGAGACAACAAACGUUAAGAUCCCAGCUCUUUCACCCGGUGAUCACGAAGUAACAAUAAAUUACCAAAACGGCUUUCAGAGUAAAUUCACACUGAAUGAAAAAGAUGUUU